UCAACUGCUUAGACCCCUGCUCAUCUCAUGCAUCAUCUUCGACUUGAUCGUUGACGUACAUCACAUCACAGAAAUACAACCAGAUAUAAAAUAAAAAUAAAAAUAAAUUACAUCUCCUUUUUAGGAGGCACGCAGGCCUCUCAAAACAUCAAAUAAGAUGCAUGCAAGCAUUUAAAAAAUUACAUGACAUCGCAGAUCACAUCGCAGGUCAUUACAUUUGAUACCAAAAGGGUUUGAAUCCUAUGAUCAUCACCACAUGCAGCAAUUAUAAUUUUCAGAUCUGGAAACUAACUGAUUAUCUCAUGACAUAGGUUGCUGAUCAUGCUAAUCAUGAUUCUAAACUUUGUAAUCCCAUUAACAAU
rnacentral:lncRNA from 1 species